rnacentral:rRNA from 1 species
CUUGGCGGCCAUAGCGCGGUGGUCCCACCUGAUCCCAUGCCGAACUCAGAAGUGAAACGCCGUAGCGCCGAUUCACGCUCUUGCUGACCAUUGGGU